rnacentral:rRNA from 1 species
CUGGCGGCGUGCCUAAUACAUGCAAGUCGAACGCACUCUCGUUUAGAUUGAAGGAGCUUGCUCCUGAUUGAUAAACAUUUGAGUGAGUGGCGGACGGGUGAGUAACACGUGGGUAACCUGCCCUAAAGUGGGGAUAACAUUUGGAAACAGAUGCUAAUACCGCAUAAAACCUAACACCGCAUGGUGUAGGGUUGAAAGAUGGUUUCGGCUAUCACUUUAGGAUGGACCCCGCGGUGCAUUAGUUAGUUGGUGAGGUAAAGGCUCACCAAGACCGUGAUGCAUAGCCGACCUGAGAGGGUAAUCGGCCACACUGGGACUGAGACACGGCCCAGACUCCUACGGGAGGCAGCAGUAGGGAAUCUUCCACAAUGGACGAAAGUCUGAUGGAGCAACGCCGCGUGAGUGAAGAAGGUUUUCGGAUCGUAAAACUCUGUUGUUGGAGAAGAAUGUAUCUGAUAGUAACUGAUCAGGUAGUGACGGUAUCCAACCAGAAAGCCACGGCUAACUACGUG